AGAUUGAACGCUGGCGGCAUGCCUUACACAUGCAAGUCGAACGGCAGCGCGGGAGCAAUCCUGGCGGCGAGUGGCGAACGGGUGAGUAAUAUAUCGGAACGUGCCCAGUAGUGGGGGAUAGCCCGGCGAAAGCCGGAUUAAUACCGCAUACGACCUGAGGGUGAAAGCGGGGGAUCGCAAGACCUCGCGCUACUGGAGCGGCCGAUAUCAGAUUAGCUAGUUGGUGGGUAAAGGCCUACCAAGGCAACGAUCUGUAGUUGGUCUGAGAGGACGACCAGCCACACUGGGACUGAGACACGGCCCAGACUCCUACGGGAGCAGCAGUGGGAAUUUUGGACAAGUGGGCGCAAGCCUGAUCCAGCAAUGCCGCGUGCGAGGAAGAAGGCCUUCGGUGUAAACUGUCUUUUUGUCGAGGAAGAAAUUC
rnacentral:rRNA from 1 species